rnacentral:rRNA from 1 species
UACGAAGGUCCCAAGCGUUAUCCGGAUUUAUUGGGUUUAAAGGGUGUGUAGGCGGGCUUUUAAGUCAGUGGUGAAAUCUCCGGGCUCAACCUGGAAACUGCCAUUGAUACUAUUAGUCUUGAAUUCUGUUGAGGUAGGCGGAAUAAGUCAUGUAGCGGUGAAAUGCAUAGAUAUGACUUAGAACACCAAUUGCGAAGGCAGCUUACUAAACAGAUAUUGACGCUGAGGCACGAAAGCGUGGGGAUCAAACAGG